CGAAUGGGGAAACCCACCACUUUAUGUGGUACUUUAAACUGAAUACAUAGGUUUAAAGAGACAACCUGGAGAACUGAAACAUCUAAGUAACCAGAGGAAAAGAAAUCAAUUGAGAUUCCGUUAGUAGUGGCGAGCGAACGCGGAGUAGGCCAGUAGUUUUGUUAGAAAAAUUUGAAUAGUUUGGAAAUGCUAACCAUAGAGGGUGAUAGUCCCGUAUGAGUAAUGUCUAACAAAAUUCUUGAGUAAAGCGGGACACGAGAAAUCCCUGCUCGAAUAUAGGGGGACCACCCUCUAAGCCUAAAUACU
rnacentral:rRNA from 1 species